ACCCCAGAGGUCUCCAACCACCAGACCUGACUAAAGAAACAAAAGAUGGAGGUAGAAGAAGAUUGGCCAUGGCUGUACUUUUCUGUGUCUCACUGAUCCUGGUUGGAAUAGGUGGAUGUUUGCUAAUUCAGAAAUACAAG